rnacentral:lncRNA from 1 species
GCCGCAAUCAUGACACCGAAUCGGUGAGAAGCUCGGUGGGGUGGCACACUUCGGGUGUGUGCCGGUAUGGCAGGUCCUGCUCCCCCCUUAACAGCCCCCACCCUCCGAGCGUCACCGGGGCUGGCACAGGACCCACGGUGCCCACGCCCAGAUCUGCCAACAGCCCAACGCCACCUGUGUCGCAGUGGUGACGCAGCAGUGUGGUCUGCGCUGUCGUGCUGCUCACACCUGUCCUGCUCAUCCUCAGCCAGGGCUGACGGCCUGGUCUGUGGGCGCCUGGCGGGCGGUCUGCCUUGGUUUGUCCACCUCCGCUGGUUUCUCCCGUUCUGCAACACGGUCUCAUUUCUCACCACGCGAGUCAUGAGCAUCUCUCUCAUUCGGAUCCUGCCUUUCCAAGUGAAGUGGCCCAGCUCGGAGAGGUGGCAUCUACGGGCACCUUGCAGUCUCACGGAAGAGGUUCCCACCACCACCCCCAGAUGCAGGGCAUCGUCUGCCAAGCAACACUGCCGUGUACUCAGGAGUGGCCACAGAUUCAGAGCAACCCGAGCUGGGGUCCCCGCGGCAGGGCACCGGGC